rnacentral:rRNA from 1 species
AGUCCAGACUCCUACGGGAGGCAGCAGUGGGGAAUAUUGCACAAUGGGGGAAACCCUGAUGCAGCGACGCCGCGUGAGCGAAGAAGUACCUCGGUAUGUAAAGCUCUAUCAGCAGGGAAGAAGAUGACGGUACCUGACCAAGAAGCUCCGGCUAAAUACGUGCCAGCAGCCGCGGUAAUACGUAUGGAGCAAGCGUUAUCCGGAUUUACUGGGUGUAAAGGGAGCGCAGGCGGCCUUGCAAGUCUGAUGUGAAAGCCCGGGGCCCAACCCCGGGACUGCUCUGGAAACUGCGGCGCUGGAGUACGGGAGGGGCAGGCGGAAUUCCUGGUGUAGCGGUGAAAUGCGUAGAUAUCAGGAGGAACACCGGCGGCGAAGGCGGCCUGCUGGACCGUGACUGACGUUGAGGCUCGAGAGCGUGGGGAGCAAACAGGAUUAGAUACCCGUGUA